AAUAAACGCUGGCGGCGUGCCUAACACAUGCAAGUCGAGCGAGAAAGCUCCUUCGGGAGUUAGUAAAGCGGCGAACGGGUGAGCAACACGUGAGAAUCUACCCUUUAGUGAAGAAUACCCUCGAGAAAUCGAGGCUAAUACUGCAUACGUCCCUUCGGGGAGAAAGGUGGCCUCUUUGCUAUCGCUAAAGGAUGAGCUUGCGUACUAUUAGCUAGUUGGCGGGGUAAAGGCCCACCAAGGCAAUGAUGGUUAACCGGCCUGAGAGGGUGUACGGUCACACUGGAACUUAGACACGGUCCAGACUCCUACGGGAGGCAGCAGUGAGGAAUCUUGCGCAAUGGGCGAAAGCCUGACGCAGCGACGCCGCGUGGAGGAUGACGGUUUUCGGAUUGUAAACUCCUGUUAAGCGGGAAGAAAGCCUUGUUUCUAAUACAAGCAAGGUAUGACGGUACCGCUAGAGAAAGCA
rnacentral:rRNA from 1 species